GCCCAGAUGGCUCAGUUAAUAGAGCAUGUGACUUUUGAUCCCAGGGUCGUGAGUUCAAGCCUCACAGUGGGCA
rnacentral:tRNA from 1 species